rnacentral:Y_RNA from 1 species
GGCUGGUCUGAAGGUUGUGAGCUAUCUCAAAUGAUUGUUCACAGUCAACUACAGAUGGAAACCCUCGUUUACUCUUUCCUUCUCACUACUGCACUUGACUGGUCUUCA